rnacentral:lncRNA from 1 species
UUCCAGUUUUGUAACCCUUACAGCUGUUACAUCAGCCAGCUGUCACUCAAAGCUAGCUAACCUUGAAAAUGGACCACUUUAAAAUUUUAUUUCUUACAAGAGGAUAGAAAAAAGCCAUGUAUUAAGUGUGUUUUGUAAGACCUGAGGCACUAUCCAAGUGUAAACUGCUCUUUACUGUUGCUUGUUAAUAGUUGUACUGAAUUUUCCCCCCAGUGGAAACCCUUACCUCUGCCCUUUAAGUUACAUUAUGUCCAACAGUGAGUAAUUAUUAACCAUUUUAAUCUAGAUCACCUACUAUACAGUUUUUUGAUAGCAUGAAUGUUUUAUAAUUUUAUAUGUUCUAAAGUUUGCAUGUCUGAAACUGC